AGAUGCGGCUGGCUGCGAGCUGGAGUCGGGCUUUCGCCUAGCGCAGCUGCGAGCGAGGCGCGGGGGAGGCGAGCGUGAGCCCGAGUGCCAGCAGCAGCCGGAGUCGGUGGAGAGUACCCGGGCGCCGCCGGAACUGCCGUCGUGAUGGCCGUGGCUGUGGGCAGACCGUCUAAUGAAGAGCUUCGAAACUUGUCCCUUUCUGGCCAUGUUGGAUUUGACAGUCUCCCUGAUCAGCUUGUCAACAAGUCCACUUCUCAAGGAUUCUGUUUCAACAUCCUGUGUGUGGGUGAGACAGGUAUUGGCAAAUCCACAUUAAUGGACACUUUAUUCAAUACCAAAUUUGAAAGUGAUCCAGCUACUCACAAUGAACCAGGCGUCCGCUUAAAAGCCAGAAGUUAUGAGCUUCAGGAAAGCAACGUACGACUGAAGCUAACCAUUGUUGACACCGUGGGAUUUGGAGACCAGAUAAAUAAAGAUGACAGCUAUAAGCCAAUAGUGGAAUAUAUCGAUGCCCAAUUUGAGGCUUACUUACAAGAGGAAUUGAAGAUUAAACGGUCUCUCUUCAAUUAUCAUGACACAAGGAUUCAUGCCUGCCUCUAUUUCAUCGCCCCUACUGGACAUUCUCUGAAGUCCCUCGACCUGGUCACCAUGAAAAAGCUGGACAGCAAGGUGAACAUCAUUCCAAUAAUUGCAAAAGCUGACACCAUUGCCAAGAAUGAAUUGCACAAAUUUAAGAGUAAGAUCAUGAGUGAACUAGUGAGCAAUGGAGUCCAGAUAUAUCAGUUCCCCACAGAUGAAGAAACCGUGGCAGAAAUUAAUGCAACGAUGAGUGUUCAUCUUCCAUUUGCAGUGGUUGGCAGUACUGAAGAGGUGAAGAUCGGCAACAAGAUGGCCAAGGCCCGGCAGUACCCCUGGGGUGUGGUUCAAGUUGAGAAUGAAAACCACUGUGAUUUUGUGAAGCUUAGGGAGAUGCUGAUCCGUGUGAACAUGGAGGACUUGAGAGAACAGACACAUACUCGCCAUUAUGAGCUAUAUCGGCGCUGUAAGCUUGAGGAGAUGGGAUUCAAGGACACUGACCCUGACAGCAAGCCCUUCAGUCUUCAGGAGACAUAUGAAGCAAAAAGGAAUGAAUUCUUGGGAGAAUUGCAGAAGAAAGAAGAAGAAAUGAGACAAAUGUUUGUUAUGAGAGUGAAGGAGAAAGAGGCUGAAUUGAAAGAGGCAGAGAAAGAGCUUCAUGAGAAGUUUGACCUCCUCAAGAGGACACACCAAGAAGAGAAGAAGAAGGUGGAAGACAAGAAGAAGGAGCUUGAGGAAGAGGUGAAUAACUUCCAGAAGAAGAAGGCAGCAGCUCAGCUACUACAAUCCCAGGCCCAGCAGUCUGGGGCCCAGCAAACUAAGAAAGACAAGGAUAAGAAAAAUGCAAGCUUCACAUAAAGCCUGGCAAGCCAAGGAUGUUCCCGCAUUUACCUGCUUUUGCAGUAAUAGUAUAUGUCUGCCAUCUGUGUCCUUUUGUUUUAUUUUAUUGUUUUACCCUUCCCCAAACACCAGUAACUCUUAAUUCAUUUUGCUAAAUGUUGUCUGGUGGUAGAAUAUGAUAGAACAAGGGGAUAACUGCAAAUGCUCUGUGCAGCUGGACUUUGAUUUUGGAAAGUAAAUGAUUUGCCUUGUAUGCUUAUCCCAAAUGGCAGCAGGAAGCAUGCCUGUUACUUGUACAUUGCUUUGGACCAAGGAAAAUGGGGUAAAAUGCUACCUGUACAUCUGAUGUGAAAACUUCUCACCACCUCAGCAACUGAACUAAAACCCUGAAUAGCCAUGACAAUUUGCAUUUUCUUGAUGAUUCAUCUCAUGAAUAUACAACUGCUGUAGACCAAGGUAGAUUUGUAAGUAGGCACAAUGGUGGGUGACCAUCAGAGAUGACUUUACACUUGCAUCAGUUUGUCAUUUUAAUCACUUGUAUUAUUUGGCCAAGCUUGUGGUCUGUUCAGACUGUCUUAGGUGUUGAGUGUAUAUCUGAAUGAUCACUUCAAAGCCUGGCCAAGCUAGGAUGGAUAGGUGUAAGAAAACAACAAUUACAUUUAUGUCUAUCAGUUUGUUCUUGACUCACAGGUCUAGAUCUAAAGAUCAGGUUAUAUAAUACUACUUAAGUAGAAGAAUCUUCCAGUAAGAAUGAUAGGAUUCACACAAGCUAUGAUAUACCAUUUAUAGUAAGGGAUCAUACACAAACACACUUGUAUUUGUUCUGAGUGGGCCAAGAAGAAUACCUAUGACUAGAUCCCAGGAUAUGGGUACUUCUAAUAAAAGUUUUCAUAAAUUACAAGGAUGAACUUGCCCUAGAUAGUUCAAAUAGAAAAUUGCUAUAAAAUUCUAUUAUCUGCAGCAUAAGUUAGAAUCAAUUUAAGGUAAAAUGGGAAAGAACAUGAUUCAAGUAAGUAGAAAUUGAAAAAAAAUAUAUUUAAACUGUAGAAAUUCAGCUUCAGUUCUAUCUUGCUUGCUGGUGUUUCCAAUAUAGUUGCAUUGAAGGAUUUUCCUCUCUUGUGCUCUCAACAUGAUUACUAGCUACACAUGUUCUUUGUUACCUAGUCCCACUGCCUCAUCCAGGACUAGAAUUAACCCAUAUGCCAUGACCCAUCCCACCUGCCUGAUUUGUAGAGAAGGGCAUGUUUUCUGUCUUCCACCCUUUUUUUUUUUUUUGACACUUAUCCUUUAUCUUCUGGCUUCUGCCUGCUAACAAGAUUGCCCUAGCUUUCUCUCUAACUCUUGUAAGUAACUGUUGCUGACUUCACUCAGACCUUUCCCUCUGCAUUUCCCCUCUAACCACUACUUAGUUAUAUACAAACAGUGGAAUACUCUGCAGUCCUCCUUCCCCAACACAUACUUUUUUUUUUUUUUUUUAAGUUAAUAAGAUCUCAGCAAAGUUCUGCCCCAUCCCCCUUUGGCCCCAGUUAUACCGAAAAGGAAGCAAUUUCAUUAAUUUAUUUAGGCUUCAUUGGGCAAAGUAAAGAAAUCAGCUUCACUGAGGUGCAAACCAAGCUGGUUUAGAAGCUGCAAACUGGGAACGACAGUAGCUGCCUUCACAGGUUGAAGGAGGAACUACGAGACUGACACUUUUGCUUUGCUUUUGCUUUUUCUAGCUGGCUAUGGAGCAGCUGGGUGCUAAAUGGCAUGCUGACUAACCAUGGCAUUUGCUCUUUUGCUGGGCACCACACAAGAGCUUAAAUAUUUGUGUUGUGUGCUUGUUCCAACCACUGCUUAAGUGUGCAUUUUUGUGUCUUAUAAUAAUAGAAGGUACCUCUUUAAAUCCUAUUUCUUGCAUACCUAAAAGCUUUUUUUUAAGUGAAUCUAACAACAAAAAUCAUCCAGCUGACUUGAUUGAUUUUUUUUGCAUUAAAUUUUUUCACAGCAAAGUAAAUUGUAUGGAGAGUCAGGGAAUAAGAAGCCAAAAGAAUUAUAGAAGCUUUAUAAAAAAUGUGUUGCUUCUGAAAUUUUUUUCUCCCACUGCUCCCCAGCCUUGUUUAGUUUGUUAUUGCUGCUCUCUUUUCUUUCUGUAUCUAUGCCUUUUUUCACAGUAGUCCUUGGCUCUGCACGGAAUAAAUGAUACCCUCAAAUCUAAUUGGAUGUACUUUCACCUUUGCAUCUUCUUCUUUAUGUAACCAUCCUGUUGACAAGCCCUACUCUCUCCUAAUGGACAUAGAGCAUUAGAAGAGCAGGAGCUGUCUGUUCACACGUGUUGGGGAAGAGUUACCUCAUUUCCACCAUCGCCUCCUGUUCUUUAUAAGUCUGGGUCAAAUAUUGCAUUGCUAUUUGUAUUUGUCAAUGUCUGUUUACAAACCACUGCCUUCUUGCUGCUGAAGUGACUUCAUUAUCAAACAUACUAAUACUAAUAUUAAUUAAAAAGAAAUUGAGUGAAGCAGAGAACUUGGGCCUAAACCUAAGGUCUCAUGCUGGAAUCCUCUUGCUUAGCUGCCAUGUUCUUGAAGCUUCUGAUCCAAGAACUUGUGGAUAAAGAGAGCAUGUGUACCACCUGAGGUGGCCAUCAUCUCUGGGAUAAACUUGAUUCAUGGUACCUCCUGACAUCUAUCCCAUGAGCAACACUCUUAGCCCCACAAGGAUCCUCUACCACCAUCAUGAGAGCUGGACAACACUUUCCUUCCUUCGGUUAGCUUUGUGGGCAGUGUGGGGUGCUUGGUGUUUGGAUUUUAUUUUUUCAUUUGAUAUUGCAUGAAUAUAGGUGGCUGAAUUUUUUCCCAUUCAUGUGUCCUAUUGAUACAAUGUUUUUAUUUUUCAGCUGAUCAUCCGCCUCUUGAGAGAAAGAAGUGGGAUCCUUCUUUUAAAUUCGGGAACCAUUAUUGUUUUGUUAGACUCUUUUUCUGUUAUCUGCAUCCCUUUUAUAAGUUAUUUUGGGAUUGGGAUUCUGGUUUAUUUUUAAGGAGAGGUGGAGUCCAGCUAAUGAGUUCUGCUUUUUCUAUUUGUUAUCCAAGUUUACUUUUGGUUUCAAAAUUAUGCCAGCUUACCUCAAGGGGAAAUAUAAGUUAAUUUUAUAAAUAAGUUAAAAACUGUUUAAUAUGUUCUCCUUAUCUUAGAUGCAAUCUUAAAAUCCCCUUCUUUGUUACUAGGGUUUUGAUCUACAAGUCUCAUUCAUGUUUAAAAUGUGCCAGUGUUGGAUCAAUGACUUUCUGCCUCUGGGGCUCAAUUUAUAUUUAAAGAUAUCUUAAGAUAA